rnacentral:lncRNA from 1 species
GGCUGAGCUUGAUUCCUUAGAAAGGAACAAAACAUGGGAGCUAGUUCCAGUAGUUCCAGGAAUGAAACUGCUUGGAAGCAAAUGGGUCUUCAAAGCGAAGACAGAUCAAAAUGGCAAGAUAGUCAGACACAAAGCCAGAUUGGUAGCCAGAGGUUUUGCACAGGUACCAGGUGAAGACUAUCACGAGACCUAUUCACCCACAGUGAGAUAUGAAAGCAUUAGGCUUAUGCUCAAGCUAGCUGCAGAGGAAAAUCUACACGUUAGUCACCAUGAUAUUAAUACAGCUUUUCUGUACGGAUCUCUAGAUGAAUCACUUUAUAUGCUUCCACCUGAUGGCGUACAGGUAAAACAGGGAUUUGUUUGUGCUCUGAAGAAAUCCCUUUAUGGUCUCAAACAAAGUGCACGGUGUUGGCACACAAAACUCACUGAAGUAUUGUUUUCUCUAGGUUUUCAGCAAGGGAAAGCUGAUCCAUGUGUAUUUGUCAAAGAGGAGGGGCAAAAGAAACUGUACUGUUUGUUUUAUGUUGAUGAUUUAUUAUUCUUUUGGAAAGAUGUCGCAAUGUACAAUAACGCCCUAGCUCAACUGAAAGAGCACUUUGACAUGAAAGAUCUUGGUGAGGUAAACAACUACCUAUCUCUGGAAAUAGAGAGAGAUCAAGAUGGUAACAUUCUAGUACACCAGUCACGGAAAAUUGCUGAUGUGUUAAGCAAACUAAAUCUGAUGGAUGCUAACCCUGUAGACACACCGAUGACAACAGGUUAUCAGGUAGAUGACACUGAAGAAGCAUUUUCUGACACUACACUGUACAGGAGUGUGCUAGGCAAGCUAAACUUCAUUGCCAGAUGUUCAAGACCAGACAUUGCUGUUAGCUGUAAUUUGCUAAGCAGACAAGUCAACAAUCCUAGUGUCAAGGAUUGGAAAGCUCUGAAACGCAUAGCGCGGUAUUUGAAAGGCACUAUGCAUUACAGACUGAGAUUUAACAAUCAGAAGUCUGGUGGUCUUGAGAUAUUUGCAGAUGCAAGUUUUGGAAGUGACGCUACAGACAGGAAAAGUACGUCUGGAGUUUGCUACAUAUACAAUCAGAGUCUUUUAGAUUGGUCAUGCAAGAAGCAAACAACAGUUAGCUUAAGUACUUGUGAAGCUGAACUGAAUGCACUGUCUUAUUCACUUAAGGAUUGUGAAUGGUUAGUACAAUUGUGCAAAGAUAUGAAAAUUCCUGUCAAAUGUCCAAUCCAGGUUUACCAGGACAACAAAGCAUGUUUGGCUUUGCUGAAGUCUGAAGGUUGUAAGCUAAAGCACAAAGCACUUGCAAUUAAAGUUGCAGCAUGCUAGGGAAUGUAUUCAGAAGGGACUCGUAACGGUGUCCUAUAUGCCAGGUAAUGAAAUUCCUGCUGAUGUAUUGUCCAAGAUUGUAUCAAGGGAUCAACACUGUACCUAUGUGCAGAAGUUGGGUUUGUACUGAUAUUGUGCCAACACGCUGCCCAGUGAUGUUCACAGAAAGGGGGAGGAUGUUGGUUUCUGCUUUCCUUCACUGUGCAGCUCUGCUUGUCAUGAGACAGGUGUUUACAUUCCACAGUCUGUACUGUUGGAGUUUCUCACGGGAAAGGGAGACUGGAUGUGACGUACACUGGUUUCCUGUUUGUUUUUCACUGUGUGAUUCUCUCCAAGCUGUGGAGGAGAGAGGAUGCAUUUUUCUGCUCUUGCAGAGGCAAGAUGUCUUUCUGUAAUAUACCAGCUUUGAACUGUAAAUAAAGCAAUAUAGAGUAUGUAACACAUUUUCCUCAUCCUUCCGCUGGCAACGAGACUCUGCUUAAAUCAACA